GCCGGGGUGGCGAAACUGGUAGACGCACGGGACUCAAAAUCCCGCGAUAGCAAUAUCAUGUCGGUUCGAGUCCGACCCCCGGCACCA
rnacentral:tRNA from 1 species